AGAGCACACGGUGGAUGCCUUGGCACCAAGAGGCGAUGAAGGACGUGCAAAGCUGCGAAAAGCCAUGGGGAGUUGCAACGAAGCGUUGAUCCAUGGAUGUCCGAAUGGGGCAACCCACUUCCCUCGGGAAGUACACCGCCUAGUGCGGUGAGCGAACGCCGCGAACUGAAACAUCUAAGUAGCGGCAGGAGAAGAAAACAAUAGUGAUUCCCCAAGUAGCGGCGAGCGAACGGGGAACAGCCCAAACCGAAGUGCAGUGUUGCUUCGGGGUUGUAGGACCACAAUAUGGUAUUGACAAAGACGAAUCGAAGGCCUUGGAAGGGGCCGCCACAGAAGGUGAAAGCCCUGUAGGUGAAGUCGGAGUCAGCUUAGUGGUAUCCUGAGUAGCGCGGGACCGGUGGAAUCCUGCGUGAACCAGCCGGCACCAUCCGGUAAGGCUAAAUACUCCUUGGUGACCGAUAGUGAACUAGUACCGUGAGGGAAAGGCGAAAAGAACGCCGAGAAGGCGAGUGAAAUAGUACCUGAAACCGUGUGCUUACAAUCGGUCGGAGCCCUUAGGGGUGACGGCGUGCCUUUUGCAUAAUGAGCCUACGAGUUGCAUCUGUUGUGCAAGGUUAAGCCCCUAAGGGGUGGAGCCGAAGCGAAAGCGAGUCUGAAUAGGGCGUCAAGUACAGCGGAGCAGACGCGAAACCAAGUGAUCUAUCCAUGACCAGGAUGAAGUUCCGGUAAAACGGGAUGGAGGUCCGAACCAGUAGACGUUGAAAAGUCUUUGGAUGAGUUGUGGAUGGGGGUGAAAGGCCAAUCAAACUUGGAGAUAGCUCGUUCUCCCCGAAAUAUAUUUAGGUAUAGCGUCCAAAUGAACCUCACUGGAGGUAGAGCACUGAUUAGGCUAGGGCCCUUCACCGGGUACCAAACCUAGACAAACUCCGAAUGCCAGUGGGGAUGUUGGGCAGUCAGCAGCAGGGUGAUAACGUCCUGUUGCGAGAGGGAAAGAACCCAGACCAUCAGUUAAGGUCCCUAAAUUCAUACUAAGUUGUGUUAAAGGAUGUUGGGUUGCUUAGACAACUAGGAUGUUGGCUUAGAAGCAGCCAUUCAUUUAAAGAGUGCGUAAUAGCUCACUAGUCGAGCGACCUGGCGCCGAAAAUUAUCGGGCAUAAGUAUGGUACCGAAGCUAUGCGAUUCUGAGGAAUCGGUAGGGGAGCAUUCUAGCGGCAUUGAAGCAGGCGCGGUGAGCGUCUGUGGAGCUUCUAGAAGCGAAAAUGUAGGCAUAAGUAACGAGAAUUUGGGUGAAAAUCCCAUACACCGUAAACCCAAGGUUUCCUGAUCAACGUUCGUCGUAUCAGGGUUAGUCGAGACCUAAGGUGCACCCGGUCUGGCCGGGGUAACCGAUGGCAAACUGGUUAAAUAUUCCAGUACCUCGACCCAUUGUUAAGCUAAGGCGUGACGCAGAAGUGACACUUCCGCCACCAGACGAAUGGUGGUUAAAGUACGUAGGCUGAGUGGUAGGCAAAUCCGCCACUCAUUAAGGUCGAAAUACGACAGUACUCAGAGGCCUCGGCCAACGAGAUAGUGAAGGUAAUCAUGCUGCCAAGAAAAGCGUCGUAGUUAGAUGGGCGGGUUCGUACCGUAAACCGACACAGGUGGGUGAGGCGAGUAGCCUCAGGUGCGCGAGUGAUUCAUGGCUAAGGAACUCGGCAAAUUAGAUCCGUAACUUCGGGAGAAGGAUCCCCUGUAGCAAUACAGGGCGCAGUGAAAAGGCCCAGGCGACUGUUUAGCAAAAACACAGCACUCUGCUAAGUCGUAAGACGAUGUAUAGGGUGUGACACCUGCCCGGUGCUGGAAGGUUAAGGAAGGGGGUUAGCGCAAGCGAAGCUCUUAACUGAAGCCCCAGUAAACGGCGGCCGUAACUAUAACGGUCCUAAGGUAGCGAAAUUCCUUGUCGGGUAAGUUCCGACCUGCACGAAUGGUGUAACGAUCUGGGCACUGUCUCGGCCAUGAGCUCGGUGAAAUUGUAGUUCCGGUGAUGAUGCCGGAUACCCGCAGCGGGACGGAAAGACCCCGUGAACCUUUACUAUAGCUUUGCAUUGAGUUCGGUUUAACCAUGUGUAGGAUAGGCGGGAGACUGUGAAGCCGGGGCGCUAGCUCAGGUGGAGUCAACCUUGAAAUACCGCCCUUGUUUGGAUUGGAUUCUAAUUCCCAAUGGGAAAACAGUGCAUGGUGGGUAGUUUGACUGGGGCGGUCGCCUCCUAAAAUGUAACGGAGGCUCACAAAGGUUCCCUCAGCAUGGUUGGCAAUCAUGCGUAGAGUGUAAAAGCAUAAGGGAGCUUGACUGCGAGACAAACAAGUCGAGCAGGGACGAAAGUCGGUUUUAGUGAUCCGGCGGUUCCGAAUGGAAGGGCCGUCGCUCAAAGGAUAAAAGGUACUCCGGGGAUAACAGGCUGAUCUCCCCCAAGAGUUCACAUCGACGGGGAGGUUUGGCACCUCGAUGUCGGCUCAUCGCAUCCUGGGGCUGGAGAAGGUCCCAAGGGUAUGGCUGUUCGCCAUUUAAAGCGGUACGCGAGCUGGGUUCAGAACGUCGUGAGACAGUUCGGUCCCUAUCUGCUGUGGGCGUAGGAAUAUUGAGAAGGGCUGCAUCUAGUACGAGAGGACCGGUGUGGACAAACCUCUAGUGUGCCUGUUGUGUGGUCGCAUGCAUCGCAGGGUAGCUAUGUUUGGUCGGGAUAAGCCGCUGAAAGCAUCUAAGCGCGAAGCCCACUUCAAGAUAAGUAUUCCCUUUAGAGCCCUGGAAGACCACCAGGUUGAUAGGCAACAAGUGUACGCAUAGCAAUAUGUUCAGCUGAGUUGUACUAAUCGCUCUAGCGACUUCUUU
rnacentral:rRNA from 1 species